rnacentral:rRNA from 1 species
UGGGGAAUAUUGCACAAUGGGCGCAAGCCUGAUGCAGCCAUGCCGCGUGUGUGAAGAAGGCCUUCGGGUUGUAAAGCACUUUCAGCGGGGAGGAAGGCGUUAAGGUUAAUAACCUUGGCGAUUGACGUUACCCGCAGAAGAAGCACCGGCUAACUCCGUGCCAGCAGCCGCGGUAAUACGGAGGGUGCAAGCGUUAAUCGGAAUUACUGGGCGUAAAGCGCACGCAGGCGGUCUGUCAAGUCGGAUGUGAAAUCCCCGGGCUCAACCUGGGAACUGCAUUCGAAACUGGCAGGCUAGAGUCUUCUAGAGGGGGGUAGAAUUCCAGGUGUAGCGGUGAAAUGCGUAGAGAUCUGGAGGAAUACCGGUGGCGAAGGCGGCCCCCUGGACAAAGACUGACGCUCAGGUGCGAAAGCGGGGGGAGCAAACAGG